rnacentral:rRNA from 1 species
GACGAACCGUGCGAACGUUGUUCGGAAUCACUGGGCUUAAAGGGUGCGUAGGCGGGUCAUCAAGUCCGGGGUGAAAUCCUCCCGCUCAACGGGAGAAGUGCCUUGGAUACUGGUGGUCUUGAGUGGGGUAGGGGCAUGUGGAACUCCCGGUGGAGCGGUGAAAUGCGUAGAUAUCGGGAGGAACGCCGGUGGCGAAAGCGACGUGCUGGACCCCUUCUGACGCUGAGGCGCGAAAGCGUGGGGAGCAAACAGG